CAUGCACGUCUAAGUACUCGCCUUGGUCUAUUUAAAGUGAAACCGCGAAUGGCUCAUUAAAUCAGUUAUGGUUCACUGGACCGUACCACAUCCUACUCGGAUAACUGUGGUAAUUCUAGAGCUAAUACAUGCAACUAGGCCCUGCCCGGCCGCUCCGUCCGUCAAAACGACGGUCGGUCGGAAAGGGCGCCAUUAUCAGCUCAAAACCGACCGGGUCGCCCGCCGUCCUCUGGACGGGCAGGGCUCCCGUUCUCGUUGACCCUUUGACGACUCUGGAUAACCUCCUAGCGGAUCGCCGGUCAAACUUAGGUCGGCCGGGUGUUUCGGCAUCCGCGCCCGACCUAACGGCGACUGGUCUUUCGAAUGUCUGCCUUAUCAACUGUCGACGGUAGGUUAGACGCCUACCGUGGUCGUAACGGGUGACGGGGAAUCAGGGUUCGAUUCCGGAGAGGGAGCCUGAGAAACGGCUACCACAUCCAAGGAAGGCAGCAGGCACGCAAAUUACCCAAUCCCCGAACGGGGAGGUAGUGACGAAAAAUAACGAUACGGGACUCUUAACGAGGCCUCGUAAUCGGAAUGAGUCCGCUCUAAAUCCUUUUAACGAGGAUCUAUCGGAGGGCAAGUCUGGUGCCAGCAGCCGCGGUAAUUCCAGCUCCGAUAGCGUAUAUUAAAGUUGCUGCGGUUAAAAAGCUCGUAGUUGGAUUUGGGUUUUCGGGCCGGCGGGCCGCCGCCUUCGAGCGGCGCGUCUCCCGCCGCGCCCCCGGAACCGCACGGUCGCAGAGGCCCCCGCGGUGCUCUUGAGUGAGUGUCCGCCGGUUCGGGUCGCCGAACGUUUACUUUGAAAAAAUUAGAGUGCUCCAGGCAGGCCGGUAAAGCGUUGUUUAAAAAAGACCCGCGCCUGAAUAGUCACGCAUGGAAUAAUGAAAGAGGACCGGUGGUCCUAUUUUGUUGGUUUUCGGGAUUUUCCGCCGUCAUGAUUAAGAGGGACGGCCGGGGGCAUUCGUACCGCGGCGCGAGAGGUGAAAUUCUAGGACCGCCGCGAGACGAACCGUUGCGAAAGCAUUUGCCAAGAAUGUUUUCCUUAAUCAAGAACGAAAGUCAGAGGUUCGAAGGCGAUCAGAUACCGCCCUAGUUCUGACCGUAAACGAUGCCACCUGACGAUCCGCCAGGGUUACUACCAUGACUCGGCGGGCAGCCCCCGGGAAACCCAAGCCUUCGGGUUCCGGGGGAAGUAUGGUUGCAAAGCUGAAACUUAAAGGAAUUGACGGAAGGGCACCACCAGGAGUGGAGCCUGCGGCUUAAUUUGACUCAACACGGGAAACCUCACCCGGCCCGGACACCGCGAGGAUUGACAGAUUGAGAGCUCUUUCUCGAUUCGGUGGGUGGUGGUGCAUGGCCGUUCUUAGUUGGUGGAGCGAUUUGUCUGGUUAAUUCC
rnacentral:rRNA from 1 species